rnacentral:rRNA from 1 species
AGCAGCCGCGGUAAUUCCAGCUCCAAUAGCGUAUAUUAAAGUUGUUGCAGUUAAAAAGCUCGUAGUUGAAUUUCGGGGUUAGUAGGUUGGUCGUGCCACUGGUAUGUACUGGCUUUACUGAUCCCUCCUUCUUGUAGAACCGUAAUGCCAUUAACUUGGUGUUGCGGGGAAACAGGACUGUUACUUUGAAAAAAUUAGAGUGUUUAAAGCAGGCUAACGCUUGAAUACAUUAGCAUGGAAUAAUGAAAUAGGACGCUCGAUCCUAUUUUGUUGGUUUCUAGGAUUGACGUAAUGAUUAAUAGGGAUAGUUGGGGGCAUUAGUAUUCAAUUGUCAGAGGUGAAAUUCUUGGAUUUAUUGAAGACUAACUACUGCGAAAGCAUUUGCCAAGGAUGUUUUCAUUAAUCAAGAACGAAAGUUAGGGGAUCGAAGACGAUCAGAUACCGUCGUAGUCUUAACCAUAAACUAUGCCGACUAGGGAUCGGAUGAUGUUAAUUUUUUAAUGACUCAUUCGGCGCCUUACG